rnacentral:misc_RNA from 1 species
GAAGCUCGUGAGCGAAGGCACGUAUGUGAAUCUCGGUGUGGGCAUCCCGACGCUUGUUUCGAACUACCUGCAGGGACGGGACGUCAUUCUCCAUGCGGAAAACGGUGUGCUCGGCUACGGACGCAUGGUGACCGAAGAGCACGAGAUCGACCCCGACAUCUACAACGCAGCCGGACAGUUCGUGGCCCUCGAACCCGGCGCCUCAUUCUUCGACAGCGUCACCUCGUUC